AAAAAUACAGAACAGAAAAUAUUUGGAAAAUUCACUAAUUGGAAAAAAUUCCUGCGUUCCCCCUAAUCCAGUACCCCGUGAGUUUUGUGGCACUUGUACUUAUUGUAUGAAAGAGAAAAACUUCUCCUCUGGGAAUUCAGAAGCAUGCAGACACUGGAGUGGGCAAGGAGAGAAGCAAGAUCACCAGAUUCUUUUUGUGAGAAGCUACUGAGUAACCUGGAUCCUUCUUCAGCCCUCAGUCUUGUCUUGGUGCCUACACUCCAUUCACUUGAUGACCAGGGCUUGUGGGGCCAACCUGCCAGCUCCAACUUUAUCUUAUCACCAACCCCCAGGGGCUCAGAAGACAAGUUCAUCAGUUGAUGCUGAGAGGUGCCCUCUGCUGGAUGCUGAUGAUUCAAGCUCAAAAUUAAGAUCUGGAAAUACCGUUUUGCAGUUUAAUAAAAAGAGUGGAAACAUUA